rnacentral:rRNA from 1 species
UACGGGGGGGGCAAGCGUUGUUCGGAAUUACUGGGCGGAAAGGGCUCGUAGGCGGCCAACUAAGUCAGACGUGAAAUCCCUCGGCUUAACCGGGGAACUGCGUCUGAUACUGGAUGGCUUGAGUUCGGGAGAGGGAUGCGGAAUUCCAGGUGUAGCGGUGAAAUGCGUAGAUAUCUGGAGGAACACCGGUGGCGAAGGCGGCAUCCUGGACCGAUACUGACGCUGAGGAGCGAAAGCCAGGGGAGCAAACGGG